CAAAAACUGACGACGAGUCAAAGGGCAGGUAACUGUAAACCUGAAAGUCAAGUGAGUUGCCACCCUUUAGACAUUAAAUCAUCCGAUUUUCCUGACCUGAUUUUACCGACUUUGUAGGUCUCGUAUCCACGUUUCAUGUUAAGGUUGGAAUUAGAAUCUGUAAUCCACAAUAUACGAUUAAACUGAAGGUGAGAUUGAAGGAGCUGACACUUUCAGACUAGAAAUAUGGCUAACUGUGGCUGGCUAUGGUCUAUAAUAUGGGUGAUCAUUCUACUGGUAUUUGGGUGGCCCAUCGGACUCAUCUGUGCCCUCUUCUACUGCAUGCUAAGUCCAUUUGCUGCCUGUUGCCAUGGAUGUAGUGAACUCAUCAAUCUGCUAGACAGAGGUGUAAAACUUCCUAUGACUUGUGCUCAAAACAUGGUUGCUGGAAAGUCCAUGUGUUAAUGUUCAUUCUACGCAAUUUCUGUGUGGAUAGUCCGAUAGGGAAGCUCAAAGUGCAAUAGUAUGUAACUGCCAUUUUAUCUCGGAUCCUCAGUGACACAGACUGCAGAUUUAGAAAAGUGAUUUUUGUACAUAAAUGUUAUUUUCAUCCCAAGAUCUCAAUAAAUCCAGACAUUUGUGGCUCAUAAAACAAAAUGUGCAUCAGUGAUUUGGAUGGUGGCUAAAGUUCAGCCAACUUUGAAUCAAUGAAAUUGAAGUGAUUUUUCUGCCAAAGAAUGUUCUAAGUAAUUAGAUGGUGUUAUCAGAGCUUGUAUAUGACCCCUAUCAGAUAAUAUAUUCCAGAGAUUUUUUUCUAGCCAUUUUUUGUAAUUAUAUAUAUGUAUAUGCAGAGGGUGCAUGCUGCCUCUAUAUGUAUCUGCUUGUCAUACCCACCAUUUAGCAUUAAUUGGUUUUAAAAUCAAUUGUUUAUUUAAAAGUCACUUCAUUUUACCUUUUUUUCACCAGAUCAACACAUUGUAGUUUAGGCUAAGAAAAAAUGUCUAUCUGUAACCAUGUGUCAGCAGCAGCUGAAAAUAUUGUUUGGAGAAGACACAAGAUCAGUAGAUUGUAUUUAGAGAUCAUGUGCUACCUCAGGAGAUGAGGUGUCUGGAGAGCAUCAAAGGAAAUUUGAUAUUAACAAUAGACAUACCAAUUUUUUUUUUUUUUUUUUUAAAUCCCAGUAUCAACUGCAGGGCUACUCUUAUACAUUCAAAAAUCAAGAUGGCAGCCUUAGACUCAGAUUUCAGAAGUCUUCCAUUUAUCGCGUUUGACCUGAACUGAUUUUACCGUGUGAUCCACUCUUGGUUAUGAUCGUGUUAUGUUAUUUCGCUAUUUUACCAUGCAGAAUUUAUUCAAUUGAUCAGAAUAACUGGCUCCAGGCAAAGUUAGAAAUUUUCAUAUUUUGGCUCAAGUCAAAUUCCAAAAUGACUGACCCAGCUGCUGAUUUUCUUCAGUUUUAGAAAAGGUGAUUUUAAUCAAGCUUGGAACUAAUAUCGUAGCCUUCAUCAGGUGCUAUUAUGUUUCUAGAUCCACACUGCCCUCACACUGAGGUAUUCUCUUCUGUGUUAAAUUAUUGCCUACCUAUGAAGGAGGGCAGUUUCUGUGCUAAGGUGUUUGUCGUAUUGAGAACAUUCAAUAUAAUCAUAGCUUUUUACUGAAUUUCAUAUAAUUUUUAUAUUUAUGAUAAUGAUUUUAUUGUUGAAGUAAUAUUUUAUGCAGCAUAUAUUUAAUUUUAAUGUGUUUAUUUUCUUGAAUUGAACAGAAAUUUUACAAUUUUCACAAGGACAUAUACUGUACAGUGCUUUUGAUUUUUUAUAUUUUUUUAGAGAUCUGCAAAAAAAAGUAGCAAUUUUCAUUGUUGGAAAUACUCCAUACCAUAUUCCAGCAUAGCAUUUUCUCAGAUCAUCUUAAAUUCAUUUUCAAAAUCAUCUGUUCCUUUAGUAGUUCUUUGUGAAUUAUGAUAUGAUUUUGUUAAUGUUGACCAACAUUAAUGAAUAAUGAUCUCAUUGUAGAUUUGAUCAGUGACUUGGCACAAAUAUGCCACCUUGUAGUUAUGAACUAUGGGGUGGGAAUUUGUUUCUAGUCCCUAUGGUUUUAAAAAAAAUUUAAAUUCAUAAAGGAUAAAUUCUUUAUAAAUCUGAAAAAGUUUAUCAGAAAAUUACACAUGUAUUUUUCUUUUUUUUUUGUUCAACAUGCCCUUCUGUAAGUAUGAAAUAAAUUCAUGUAAUUUUAUUUGGAAAUGUAACAUGUAAACAUGUAGAGGUUUUUAAUCUUGAAACUGGAAAACCAUAGGAAAUCCAUGUUUGGCUGGUGACAACAUACAUACACUUUCAUAAUUCAUACAAAUUCCAUCAUUUUACAAUUUGAUCCAAAUAUUUGUGUGGCUUUUACUGUAAAUACAAAGAUAAUGAAGGUGAUGGAUACCAGUAGGUCUUAUGCAAACCUUUUUUUGAACCCUGAUCUGAAUCAAGACUUGUACUUUUAAAGAAAUAAAAAAAUUGACAGUGAGGGAUAUGAACAUAUUUAAAGCUUAAUUUAUUUCUUACAACAGCGGAACUUGCCAUAGAUAUGUAUUUAAAAAGAAAAUAAAUGUACCGGGGGUUUUAAAUUUUCUGUGUUAAUACAUACAAUUGAUCAGGUUGUAGUUAUAUUCAUAUAUAGAUUGUAUUGAUGUUGUAUUAUUAUAACCCUUGUCAAAGUUGUAUGGAAAUAUGGAUAUUCAUAUAUUUAGAUAUUUUUGUUAUAUUUUACUGGUAUAUUGUAGGAUAUUCUAUAUACAUACAUAUACAGAUACCUCUCUUAGACUCUUCUGUGCCUUUAUAGGAUCGAGUGCCCCAGAUCAUGGCAGUCUUAGGAAUUGAGAUCUAAUCGCUGAUAAUAUCUGUUGAAAAUGAUUUUUUAGAAAGAUGAAACACCGGCUAACUCAAUAGACAUAGAAAUGAAUAUUUGUGAAUAAUUUCACAGGUGCAGUUUUAAACUCCUGCCUCUCCAAGCAAUGGUUAUAUACAAAAGAUGGGAAUUUUGGUAUCAAUGCUCCCAACAGAGUUAGUAUACUAAAUGCAUAUUAUGUUACCAAAGACAUAUAGACAGUGUCAUGUUUUUUUUUAUUCUGGGGCUAGAUCUUCAUCCUGCUUUCUAAUGAACUUGUUGAAAAUUGUGCAGGAGACUUGUCUGUCAAAGUUACAAAUGUAGUACAAAUCCAAGUCAUUCUGCAUUCUUUUUGACAUUUUAACUAAAGUCUGUCCAAAACUAUUGUGAUUUAGCAUGUAUUAGUAUCUUUAAGUGCUUUUUCACUACAUGUGUGUAUGAUUUUGCAUAAUAGUCAUACUCAUAUGUAUGAAAGCUUGCUUGAGAAAAGUGGGGCAUUCAUAUUUUCUGUGUAGCAUGUUCAGCAAUAAAAGUAUUUUGUAAUUUUACCAUUUGAUCAUUACAAUAAAGAUAUGUUAACAACCUA